UACGUAGGGCGCAAGCGUUGUCCGGAAUUAUUGGGCGUAAAGCGUGCGCAGGCGGUGAUGUAAGACAGAUGUGAAAUCCCCGGGCUCAACCUGGGAACUGCAUUUGUGACUGCAUCGCUGGAGUACGGCAGAGGGGGAUGGAAUUCCGCGUGUAGCAGUGAAAUGCGUAGAUAUGCGGAGGAACACCGAUGGCGAAGGCAAUCCCCUGGGCCUGUACUGACGCUCAUGCACGAAAGCGUGGGGAGCAAACAGG
rnacentral:rRNA from 1 species